CUGCACAUUUUUCAGAGAAAUAAUGAAUGAUCCAGAAAUCUCACGUCUCUCUGAUCACAGAUUGGUGAAGUGUAGAGAAAGAGGUGCUGUGAUAUUCUAGCACGUAUCUUCCAGCCCUCAGACACUGGCCUUGCAGCGUCUAGAGCAGCUGAUGCUGUGUCCAGCAGUGCUCCAUUAUGUCACCUUGCAGCCGUGGUACAUGAUGUGGGAAAUGAAAUGAAAAUUUAUCCUGAAAUAUGCAGUGGUUAACAACUGGAUGGAUGACAGAGGUUACUGUGAGAAUCAGUGUAAUAGUGAGGUGAUGUGUGCAGGGCCUGAGAAACACUAUUUCAAAACAAAGAGAUGUAUUUUACAGCAUAAGCUCUUUCCUAUUCAUAUACCACUAAAUGCUUCCAGAAAAGAGUUGUCAAAAUGCAAGACAAAGACAGGAGAGAUGGUUACUUGUGUUUUGUUGUCUAAACUUGUUGGGAUGCUCCUGGCUUCAGCAGGCCUGGAAUGAAAGCUGGAAAAGGGAACUUAUUGUCUGUUAGCACUGUCAAAAGCUUUGGAGGAAAGAGCACCAAGAACUGCUUACCUUUGUGCAUUUGUGAUCAGAUCCAGUAGAUCUUCUCUUGUCUUCAUUGGUAGAACAGCAGUUUCCACUAAAACUGAUAGAACUAGCAAAGAUUUAAAUGACUCGGAGAGGUAGAGCAUGCCCAUGCUCUCAGAAUUUUUCCAUCUACCUCCUCUGCCUUUGGGCUGAGCAUGGCAGAGGAACAGGACUUGCCAAACAGCCGCAUACACGGGGCUGACCCAGCGAGGUGGUGCAGCUUCUUUCAUUCCCCUACAUUUGUCCCUAUAAAAAGCCACAUGAAGAGUUGUUGCACAGCUUUGUAUAUUUGUGUAAUGUACAACUUCCUUCGUGACAGACAUAAUCACCCUAACUACCACACAAAUUGUUUGUUUCAGGCUUGCAGCUGUGGCUCAUGAGCUAUUGGCAGAGUUCUCAUCACUGAUUUGAGCACCACAAUACAUUCUCUGCAUGCUCUUCUAUUGCAAAGACAGCCAAAAGAAACUAGUGCACGCCAUCUCGUGGCCCUGCUCAGCUAUUUCCUGGGAACGAAUGGAGCUCCAGUUGCAACAAGAAUGUUUGAUGUGGACAGGAUUUAAAAGAUGGCUUUCAGAGGCUCAGACACAGCCCGACCGUCUGACCCCUGCUCCCAGCCUGAGCAGCUGUUUCCUGGAGCAGCAGCAGAACAUCAAACUGCAAAAAGCACUUCUUCAGCACAUGCUCACACAGCCAUUGAGGUAACCCUGUCCUGACAACACAUCCAGAGUGCCAGUGAACACAGCCCCCAGACCAGCCUUUGGUGGAACACGAAAUUACUGUAUUCAUUUUAGAGUAGGACAUACACAUGUGAAUCGUUUUUAAUUACAUGAAAGGUUGGGGAUGUUCAUGGUACAUUUAUCUUCAUCUGCUGUCAGGACUUGUUAAAGAACUCCAUGUGUCAAUGCUUUAAAUAAAGCUAAUGUGCCUGUUCAUAA